rnacentral:lncRNA from 1 species
CUUUCUUGUUGAGGGCAUUGGCACGUUCUAAGUACGUUUGAGCUUCAUUCUUGAGGAGGACAGCCUUUUCGGGCGAGGUAGCAGCGGCCUCCUUCAGUUUAUCGGUAGCCCACUUAACAUAUCCUACGUCUCCGGAUUGAUAGUUGCAAAAAUGAAUGCACUUUGGGCUGCAAAACCUCUAGUUCUCCCUUGCAGCGCUUGAUACAUUUGUCCCAACAGAACUCUUCGGCAAUUGCCAAUGGUGGAGAUACCGCCGCUACCAUCACGACCAGGAGGAGAACGACACCAAUUGCGUUCCUAGUAUUCACCGCCAUUCUAGACCUUGAGAUAACUUCCGCAGGGUAUGACGGGUUUAGAAGGAGGUUGUUGAUGAGGA